ACACAUUUAUUUAAUCACUUUCAUUUCAAAAUACUGUUCCAAUCCUGUGCAGAAACAAAUUUUUACUAAGUGACUGCAGCUGUUUCGCAAUGCAACCAAAAUUAAAUAAGUGGUUGGUGGUGUUCUGACAAUGGAACUUAAACCGGCAGAAUGAAAGCAAGAACCGAAGACAAAUUUAGGAAUGGCACUUUUUGAUAUUAACAUACUAUUAAUUGCGUUUAUAAUUAUUUAAUUAUAUUAAAGCUUAUUUAGUUAUCAUUAGAAAUUAAUUUCACUAGAUGUAGCCAAAUAUAAGUAUUGCGCAUUAAAGUAUUGAACAGAUUUAUAUUUAAUAAUUUCUACAAUAUAAACUUUCUAAAUUAUAUGUAUUGAUUGCUAUUGCUCUUUGAAAUGUAGAAAGGAAUUGUUUUUCUUUUUAUUCGUUUUUAAAAUACAAUGAUAGCUCGACAGUUAUUGUAGUAUCAAGUAAUUGUUAAUCAUGUCAAAUUUGUUUUUCCUAUUUAAAUAUAUAGUAAUACCAGUAUCUAAUAAUCAUGCAGUGGGUGUUUGGUUUAUGACACCCCCCCUCCCCUUUGAGCAGUAUCAAAUCAAAUUAUUA